AAAGAAACAUUAAAGUUGUUUGUCUUUCUUUAAUUUUUAAUGGUUUUCCUUUUGGAUCCAAACGAGCAUCUAUGUUACAGGAUAUCCUCCUGGUCAACAUGCAGUGCUGAACUCCGGCUUUGGGUGAGAUGCACCGAUACUGUGGGCAGGCCAGCACUGGCUGCCAGUCACACACGGUCACUGAAGGGGAGUCAGGCUGGCAUGCCGCACUGCAGUGGAUGCUGCCUGUAAGGAAGCAUCUGGAGUGCCUUGACACUCACAUGUGUUGUAACACAGGUGGCAGCGUUUUAACAGCCUAAGGCAGAGCACCCAGGUUCCCUCUCGAUCCCAUCUGAUGUGCGCAUCCUCUAAGAGCAAACCAAGGGGGGGAUGUCCUGACCUUGGAUCCCAAAGGACAGAGGGUAUGACCUGGACACCCUGUUGUCCACUUCUUGCAACGUUAUCCUCUGAGGCUACUAGCAGAGUGCCGUGUGGAGUAUGACAUUUAAUCAUGAUAAAGCUCCUCUCCUGUGCCACUCACCGCCCCUCCUCCCUUUCCCCUCCCCUCCUCCAUCUCCCCUCCCAUGACACUUGUGCCACUAGGAACAACGAAAUCUGUCCACUGUUGGCACUACUUUAUUGAAGAGCAGCUAAAGUCACUGAGAUUGUCUUCAGGCUGCUUGAAAGCAAGAACCUCCUUUCUCUCCAUCUCCCAAGUCCGGAAAAACUUUUUCAGGGCUAUAUGAAUCCCCCGAGGCCUUUAAAUCCACUACCUAGAGUGGAAAGAAGCCAUCUCUAGUACCAUGCUAACGAGUUGAUCCGUGAUCUGGCAUAAAUGAGGAUCCCAGGUCACAUGCCUUCCUCUUUCUGGGACCAGUUGGUGUUUCCCACCUUAACCUUGUCUUUGUUAUAGAGCUUGUUUUCCUCACCUCUACCCCACUAGUCCUAGCUAUGAGAUGCUCUGCACACUAACUGCUUUAGAUUUUUCUCCUCCAUUUGUUUUUAUGUGUGAGUUCCAAAUCAUGUACUCAGUUGAGUGGAGCUGGCUGGACAGCUCUCUAAUGUCACCAAGAGGGAGGUUCCUCUGCAAUCAACAGCACUUAGGGUGGCUUUGUAUAAAUUUUGGCUUGGUGACAAAACCCCAGGAUAGAAAAACACUGAUUGAUGUUUGGCCUGCAGGCUAAGUACAUAUCUCCAUUGGUAGCCAUUAAAAUACAAUACCUAUGUUGUUACUAAAUCUGUUGGGAUCUGCUUAACGCUAUAUAGCUCCAUAUCAAAUGUAACUAAGACCAGACUACAGUAGACUUUAAUUGGCAGUUAGAUUACAUUAUUUAGCCCUCAUUUCCUGUUACCUUUAUUUUUAAAAGUUGAUUAAUGGCACUUUGAAGUUUUGGAGUGUUUUUUCCUGCUCAUCCCUUAUCAAGGUAUCUAAUAGACUUGCUUUGAGUGGUGGUUCUCAGUGUGAUGCAGGCCAUCGCUAAGAGAAAUUAGAGUGUUGGAAAGCAAACUGAGUCACCAGAGAAGGUCAAAGUUGAAUUUGGUAGCUUUGACUUAGUCCCCUUGCAGGUGGGGGGGUCCUGCCCUGAGUGAACCAAGAAGGAAGUGGUACUGCCUGGUAUACAUUCUAGAACCUGGUCCAGAACACAGAGAAUAAUCCAUUCUUAUCUCUGACAAACUUCAGAACACACACACAGAGAAAGCUCCGUCCAGAUUUCCAGUGCUGAGUAGGAGAAGAUGUCUCAGGAGGAUCCUACGUGUUAGCUUGAGAGACCUCAUUUCCCUGCAGUGGGCAUUCGUCGAGUAUGUGGACAUUUCAUACACACCAGCAGUUCUACAGCUCAUACUGUUUCAGAUCAUCUCAGGAGUAAUCACCAGAAGGGCAAAUGCAGGCUAAAGGAUAAGGAACCUGAUUUCUUGGUCAGGGGAAGUGGAAUAAAAGAGAUGCUUGUAUCCUGACAGACUGAUCCUCAACCACACACCAGCUGCAGAAGCGGCCCGUCCGAGGGUCCCUCCCUCACAGGAACACCUCAGUAAACUGAUUCUCUCAUCGAAGCAUCUCUGGUUUUGGCCUUUCUCAUCUCUACGGAAGUCCCCAGCAGCAAAGAGGCAGAACUAUGGCAGUGCCCAUCUUGCAAAGGGAAAUACAGCGAUUUGGAGGUCGCUGACAGCUCCGCACGUCAUGCCCGGUCCAGGCCCCCCGCGCCUCCGCCGCCGAUAGUGCCCGUUGGGCAUCUGCCAGCUGUGCCG